rnacentral:lncRNA from 1 species
UGGAAUCUUUAAUAUAAAUUUAAUUCUUAAUAUUAUUUUACACUAAGAUAUUAUUUUUUUAUUUAUGAAGUAUUUACUGAGAAGUAUGUUUAAAUAAUAUUUAAAUAAGAUUUAUCACUCCAACUGACAAAACCAAAAUCACAGUAAAGUAGCUCGCCAUGGGUGCUUCACAGCCCAAAAAUAUAAUGAGUUGGGUUUUCCCAUUAAAAGCCCAAAGCAUAACCGAGCCCUAUAAUGAAUUGAGUUCAAGUUUGACCUUAGCAAAACGAAGAGGCUAACUUAACAUUAGUCAACUCAUUUAACAGGCAAAUGCUUCACAUACCUCCAUAACUUCAUCUUGCACCUCCUAUAUUAUAAAAUUCCAGUUUUACUCUCAAGUUUAAUAUUUUUAUUUUUUAAAUGUACAAUCAAGAAACGCUUCCAAUAUACAAUUCAAAAUAAAAUAAUUAUCAUAGGAAACUUAUUUGUUAUAAACAUUUGUUGGGUUUUUGCAAAAGCCGAAAUACUUUGGCGAUACGUGAGCUAUGCUGACUACAUAUAAAUUUCACAAAAAUAGGUUUGUGGAAUGACAGAUAAAAAUGCUUUAAUAAGACAUACAUACUCCAUCAAUCAUGAUCAUUAUUUUUGUGCAAUUGGAUUACCAAAUAAAUUAUAUGGUAAUUGCUACUUAUUUUACAAAAAUCCAUUAAUGAAAUAUAGCUACUAAAAUUCAAUAUCAUAACGAUGGUGUAGAUGCUAGCCAUUGAGCCAACCACCAACCAAGAUAUUCCUACAGUAUUGGUUUCGGUUUUCAUAGAUUUUACCGAAUCCACUUAACUAGAUUUAAGAAGCAAUUAACAGUUUACGGUUAUAUACGAUGUAUCGCUAAGUACUUUUCUGUCAUGUUUUUCAUAUUUCAGAAAAAUAAAAAGAAUUGGAAAAAAUUGAAUAGUGUGAUCACAUGCAUGCAUGGAAGGAAAUCUUUAUGGGAAGUAUGCAUUGGUUUUGUUGGGUAAGGUAAAUCUAAGGAUUAAUUCAACAACCUAAUAAUGAAUAAAAUAAUGGAUGAGCAUGUGUGGAACUCUCAUAAUAAUUCAAUUAAAGAUUGAUGGGAAUGACAUCAUGGAUCGCUGUGCUAGAGAUCAUUGCGUUAAAUUUAAUACUCUUUUAUUCAAAAACACGUGAAAAGCAGAGGAUUCUAACUUAUUGAAAUAAAAAGAAAACUCAUAGAAAAUUGUUAUCAUAAUAUACCAUACCUACUGUUAUUCAGGUCAUAAUAUGCCACACGUACGUAUCUCAAUUGUGUUUGAUGAAACGUUGGAGCUAGAGAUUUCUUCAAAGACAAAAAUCCAGUGUGACAAAUCGAUCGUAUGGUGCCAUAAACUCUGAAAAGCUCGUCUCAUUGAUAACAGAAAAAGGAAUACUAUAAUUCCCCCGAAAGAUUAUGCCAGUACCCAAUAUACUCGUGCCAUUGAAUCUUCCCAGUAUUUAGCAAAGGAAAACUAAAUUAAAGAAAAAGAAUCUUAUUCUGAUGCCCUCCACUGGAAGGAUGAAAAUAUAUAUAUAUACCUUAAAACGGUCCUUUAUGGUGUGAUUGAUCCUGAAGAAGAUAAAAGCAGACAGUACUGUAAUCAACAUACAGUGCACAUAACAAAGAAAUUAAGAUCUCAGAUACAAUCAUGUCUGAUAUGAUCAUACUGAAUUUUAUGAAACAAUAUCUAAGAUAGAUCAUGUGAGCACUUGGGAUGUUGGUUUUCUGAAUCAAUAAAUUCUGCAUUUAUAUACGGUUGGAAGAAAAGGAGGACCACUCACAUUAAUAUUGCCACAUUUCCAAGUAAUCAG